rnacentral:rRNA from 1 species
AUUGAACGCUGGCGGCAUGCCUUACACAUGCAAGUCGAACGGCAGCGCGGGGCAACCUGGCGGCGAGUGGCGAACGGGUGAGUAACAUAUCGGAACAUACCCUAGAGUGGGGGAUAACGUAGCGAAAGUUACGCUAAUACCGCAUACGCACUAAGGUGGAAAGUGGGGGAUCUUCGGACCUCAUGCUCAUGGAGUGGCCGAUAUCUGAUUAGCUAGUUGGUGAGGUAAAGGCUCACCAAGGCGACGAUCAGUAGCUGGUUUGAGAGAACGACCAGCCACACUGGAACUGAGACACGGUCCAGACUCCUACGGGAGGCAGCAGUGGGGGAAUUUUGGACAAUGGGGGCGAACCCUGAUCCAGCAAUGCCGCGUGAGUGAAGAAGG